AUAUUUACCUGUCAGGGGAGAUACCAUGAUCAGGAAGGUGGUUUUACCAGGGCGGGUGAGGAUUAUCCAUUGCACUCUGGAUGUGGUGACUCCUGAGAUUUCCCCAAAUGCAGGAAACUUGACUGCAUAAUUUGUGGUAGUAGGGGACUAUCUUUUCUCUCUCCCCUA
ensembl:snRNA U1 U1 spliceosomal RNA